UUAUGAAUGUUUCCUAUGAUGUAGCAUUCCUUCAUAUGGCAUUCUUCAGUUCCAGCUACCUCUUGUAUUGCUUCAUGCCUCGCUGCACCAUAGGAGACACAAUAUUUCAAAAAUUUCUUCUGUGUAAUGCUUGAGUAGCAUAGGGAUAGCACUUCUCUGUCACAACGAAAAGAGCCUUCAUUAUAUAAUCCAGGUGUUUUGUUUCCUUUUCCAGAAAUAUACUAGUAGCAGUGAAAAAUAUCUGUCAUCAUUUAAUAAAUUAUCAUUCUAACAGAAUUCAGCGAAAAUGUUAAAUGCACUAUGGUGUCACUUUGUUGCAUAAUUUAAGUCUAAUGUUCUUUAAAUUACUUGAGACUUAUACAUGCUUAAGAACAAAUAGAUAUAAUGUCAACCUAUGACGAUUAUAUAUGUGAAUGAAAAUAUUUAUAGCAAUAUGUGACUGUACUUAUCUGUUACAAAGUUAUGUAUAUAUGAUGUCUUCUAAAAUUUAAUACUACAAGUAUAAUUAUUAUCUGUGUAAAAGACUUGUUUUUUAAAAAAAAAACUAUUUCACUAUAUUUGAGGUAUUAAUAUUAUUUGAUAUUUGUUUCUUACUAUUUAUUGAAGGAUAAUUUACAAAAUUAGGAGAGAUUUCUUUUCAUUGCCAUAGGAGCAUUCAGACAAAAUUAUGAGAUAGUUUUAUGAUGUUGAAUAAGUGAAUAAUGAGUAGAUUUUUUUUUCCAACUGAUCAGCCAAAAAUUGAAGCCUCAGUUCUGCAAGUGCUUAGACGUACAAACAACUUUACUUCCAUAAGUAACUUUUGAUGAUAGCAUCUCAUUACUCAUGUGGUUCAGAGCUUGCAAGAUGUAGUCUAAAUAUCAGGUAUAUAUUAACAAUUAAAAACAGUGUUGUUUUGGUGGGUUAUUUUUUUUUCUUUUUUUUUCUUUUCACUUUUUUCUUUAGCUUUAGAAAUUUGCUUGCAGUCUCUUACAAUAACAAAGUUAAUACCGUUAAGUGAAAUUACUUGACCAAUCACUUGUUUUUUUUUCAAGUACAGCUUUUUAAAGCAAGUCUUAAAAGGCAGUUAGUUCUCAAUCAUUUUGAAAUCUGCAAAAUACAAUUAAACAGUAUAAAAUAACUGUUAUAGUUUGCAAUUAUGACCAUGCAUGAGAAUAUGUACUUUAUUGUGUACUCUAUAUUAUUACAAUACAAUAAUUAAACUUAAGAAUAUCAAGUGUUAUAUUCUGUAAAUAAGCUAAAAUAUAUGAAU
ensembl:lncRNA